UAGGGAAUCUUCGGCAAUGGACGAAAGUCUGACCGAGCAACGCCGCGUGAGUGAAGAAGGUCUUCGGAUCGUAAAACUCUGUUGUUAGAGAAGAACAAGGACGUUAGUAACUGAACGUCCCCUGACGGUAUCUAACCAGAAAGCCACGGCUAACUACGUGCCAGCAGCCGCGGUAAUACGUAGGUGGCAAGCGUUGUCCGGAUUUAUUGGGCGUAAAGCGAGCGCAGGCGGUUUCUUAAGUCUGAUGUGAAAGCCCCCGGCUCAACCGGGGAGGGUCAUUGGAAACUGGGAGACUUGAGUGCAGGAGAGGGUAGUGGAAUUCCAUGUGUAGCGGUGAAAUGCGUAGAUAUAUGGAGGAACACCAGUGGCGAAGGCGGCUCUCUGGUCUGUAACUGACGCUGAGGCUCGAAAGCGUGGGGAGCAAACAGG
rnacentral:rRNA from 1 species